rnacentral:rRNA from 1 species
AUUGAACGCUGGCGGCAUGCCUUACACAUGCAAGUCGAACGGCAGCACGGGAGCAAUCCUGGUGGCGAGUGGCGAACGGGUGAGUAAUAUAUCGGAACGUGCCCAGUCGUGGGGAUAACGUAGCGAAAGCUACGCUAAUACCGCAUACGAUCUAUGGAUGAAAGCGGGGGAUCGCAGACCUCGCGCGAUUGGAGCGGCCGAUAUCAGAUUAGGUAGUUGGUGAGGUAAAGGCUCACCAAGCCGACGAUCUGUAGCUGGUCUGAGAGGACGACCAGCCACACUGGGACUGAGACACGGCCCAGACUCCUACGGGAGGGCAGCAGUGGGGGAAUUUUUGGACAAUGGGCGCAAGCCUGAUCCAGCAAUGCCGCGUGCAGGAUGAA